rnacentral:lncRNA from 1 species
AGGCAAUCAAGGGCCAGGGAGACCGCUCAGCAGGAAAACAUGCCUGCCACCAAGGCUGAUGACUUGAAUUGGAUCCCCAAAACCUACAUGGUAAAAGAGAACCAAACCAGAUGUUUCCACCUGCCUGUGUGUCUGUGUGCCCUGUGCAUGCCUGGUGCCCACAGAGGUCAGAAGAAGACAUCAGAUUCUCUGGAACUGAAGCUAAAGAUCGUUUUGAGCUGCUGUGUGGACACUGGGAAUUGAGCUCGGGUCUGCUGGAGUGUGUUAAGGCUGAGUGUACAAAAACAUAUGACUGAUUCAGAAAGCCACUAGAAACUGAAGCAGAUGUGGAUGGCCUCUGAAUAGUCUGACCCACUGGGGAACAGCUCAAAGCUC